AACCCUUGUCCGCCACCCUAAUCGUGCAAUUCCCUCAGGUGACCUCGAUCAUCAUUCAUCCUCAAAUUGAAUAUCUCUAGCCCCACCGCCCUACCUUCCUCCCACCGUGCGGCAUCUCCUCUGCGUGAGUCCACAGCGCCGUCUACUCUGAAUUGCUGUAUCGACCGUCAAAGUUUGUUGCGCUGUCGAGCUCUGAAUCGCUCUCCACCGACGUGCGCCGUCGAGAUCGAGUCUCUCACCUGUAUUGUAGCUCCUAAAUUGAAUUACUAUCCACCGUCGCGCUAUCUCCGGUUGUUGAUUCCAACGAUGAUCCUAGCUAGCAGAUUUAGUUGAGAGUGAAUUCUUGGGAGAAUAGGUAAAAUAAAUUACUCAAGAUGACAGAUGACAAGAUGAAUAGAGGAGAUGGUGCUCUAAGAGGAGAUAGCCUUUGAGUCUUCUAGCAGCACUGGCCACGUCACAAUGAGGUUUUGGAAUUAGCAUCGAACUUUCUUCCUUUGAGCAUGCAUGGAUUCUUGAUUUACAGCGAUUGUGAUGCGUG